UGGGGAAUCUUGGACAAUGGGGGAAACCCUGACGCAGCCAUGCCGCGUGAGUGAAGAAGGUCUUCGGAUCGUAAAGCUCUUUCAACGGUGAAGAUGAUGACGGUAGCCGUAGAAGAAGCCCCGGCUAACUUCGUGCCAGCAGCCGCGGUAAUACGAAGGGGGCAAGCGUUGUUCGGAAUUACUGGGCGUAAAGGGCGUGUAGGCGGUCUAAUCAGUCAGAGGUGAAAGCCCUGGGCUCAACCCAGGAAUUGCCUUUGAUACUGUUAGACUAGAGUUCGGGAGAGGGUAGUGGAAUUCCCAGUGUAGAGGUGAAAUUCGUAGAUAUUGGGAAGAACACCAGUGGCGAAGGCGGCUACCUGGACCGAUACUGACGCUGAGGCGCGAAAGCGUGGGGAAGCAAACGAGGAUUAGAUACCCUGGUAGUCCACGCCGUAAACGAUGUCUGCUAGUCGUUGGGGGCGUAGCCCUUCAGUGACGCCGCUAACGCAUUAAGCAGACCGCCUGGGGAGUACGGCCGCAAGGUU
rnacentral:rRNA from 1 species